UAGACCUAUAGACGGUYUGAGCGGUAGAGAGAAGCUUGCUUCUCUUGAGAGCGGCGGACGGGUGAGUAAUACCUAGGAAUCUGCCUGAUAGUGGGGGAUAACGUUCGGAAACGGACGCUAAUACCGCAUACGUCCUACGGGAGAAAGCAGGGGACCUUCGGGCCUUGCGCUAUCAGAUGAGCCUAGGUCGGAUUAGCUAGUUGGUGAGGUAAUGGCUCACCAAGGCUACGAUCCGUAACUGGUCUGAGAGGAUGAUCAGUCACACUGGAACUGAGACACGGUCCAGACUCCUACGGGAGGCAGCAGUGGGGAAUAUUGGACAAUGGGCGAAAGCCUGAUCCAGCCAUGCCGCGUGUGUGAAGAAGGUCUUCGGAUUGUAAAGCACUUUAAGUUGGGAGGAAGGGCAGUUACCUAAUACGUGACUGUCUUGACGUUACCGACAGAAUAAGCACCGGCUAACUCUGUGCCAGCAGCCGCGGUAAUACAGAGGGUGCAAGCGUUAAUCGGAAUUACUGGGCGUAAAGCGCGCGUAGGUGGUUUGUUAAGUUGAAUGUGAAAUCCCCGGGCUCAACCUGGGAACUGCAUCCAAAACUGGCAAGCUAGAGUAUGGUAGAGGGUAGUGGAAUUUCCUGUGUAGCGGUGAAAUGCGUAGAUAUAGGAAGGAACACCAGUGGCGAAGGCGACUACCUGGACUGAUACUGACACUGAGGUGCGAAAGCGUGGGGAGCAAACAGGAUUAGAUACCCUGGUAGUCCACGCCGUAAACGAUGUCAACUAGCCGUUGGGAGUCUUGAACUCUUAGUGGCGCAGCUAACGCAUUAAGUUGACCGCCUGGGGAGUACGGCCGCAAGGUUAAAACUCAAAGAAUAUKRMGGGGGAYA
rnacentral:rRNA from 1 species